AACAAAGGCAAAUGAAUGUUUUAAAUAUUGAUUAACAAUCCUUCUAACCAACCAAUAUUCUCUGAAAUGUCUAUGUAUUUUAGUUUGUGCUUAAUUAUUUGUGGAAUUUUAAAGGAUUAACUAUUGAUACAUUUUUGGGGGUCUUAGUGGCAAGCAUGUGAAAUUAUUUAUUUCAGGUGAACUUCGGUAACUACAAUGCUGUCAUGAGUUUCUUGAAUGUGAACCAGAACUACUGGAAGUUCAUUGUGAGUCUAAUCCUUUUUCCAAGAUUGAUUUAGGUACAUUUUUGUGAAGAGGUAUGAGGGUUGUGAUAUGGGUGAUUUAAUAGUCAAAUAAUUUAAGGGAUCAACACAUUUCUAUAUUGCUUCCCCAGUAUCUGCAUGAACCAUCAGGCCAAGUGUUUUGGUUGACCCUGCAGGACAGAAAGAGAAGGAGGAAUCGGAACACGCUGCAUUCAAAUUCAGAUGGUCUGCAAUGCUGACUGUGUGAUCAGCAAUGUUGUGGCAAAAUGGCCUGGCUCAGUCCAUGACUCCAGAAUGUUUCGGGCCUCUGAAAUCUAUCAGUGCCUAUCACAAGGUGAAUUCUCUGGUGUGUUGCUGGGAGACAGGGGGUAUGGCUGCCAGCCUUUUCUCCUGACACCUUUCACAGACCCCCAGGAAGCACAGCAGGCCUACAACCAUGCCCAUGCCAGGACCAGGGCCAGAGUUGAAAUGACCUUUGGCCUCCUGAAGGCACGCUUUCACUGCCUUCACAAAUUAAGGGUCAGCCCUGUUAGGGCAUGUGAUAUUACUGUGGCUUGUGCUGUCCUCCACAAUGUGGCCUGCCUGAGGAAGGAGAGGGCCCCCAGAGUGCCACCAGCCAUGGACUGGGACAAUCCGGCAAUCUUCCCUGAUGACGACAGUGGUCGGCUGCUGAGGGACCAAUAUGUGUUGAAUUAUUUUAGUUAGUAUGUGUGCUUUCAAUUUUGGUUAAAUAUGUCCUGCGGUGGCAGAGGAAUUUGGGUUUUUUUGGGUUAGUUUUUUUACGAAUUUGGCCUCUUAUGAUGUUUGUGCGGUAUACUGUGUGUAAUACAAGGCUGCAGGGAGGCUACUGCAUCCAUUCAUUUGUCUGUUCAGUUGAUGUGUAUGGAUUUGUCCUGCAUUUAUUUUAGUGUGCAGACAUGCAGGGUGUGUUAUAUACAGACCUUUGAAUGUGUAUGUAUCAUUUUGUAUAAUAUGCUUGGAUUCUGUGCUUUCCAUCUUGUAGAGUCACUGUUACUUCAGUUUCGAAAGGAGCUGAUGGUUUACCUGCUUUGUUUUGUCCUUAUUCAAUAAAGGAACAUAAUGUUA